rnacentral:tRNA from 1 species
GCGGAUAUGGUGAAAUUGGCAGACACGUAAGAUUCAGGUUCUUAUGGGGUAACACCCGUGCAGGUUCAAGUCCUGUUAUCCGCACCA